rnacentral:pre_miRNA from 1 species
GAGGUACUCCCUCCGUCCGAAAAUACUUGUCAUCAAAAUAGAUAAAAAGGGAUGUAUCUAGAACGAAAAUACAUCUAAAUACAUCCCCUUUUAUUCAUUUUGAUGACAAGUAUUUCCGAACGGAGGGAGUAGUAC